rnacentral:rRNA from 1 species
CAGCCGCCGCGGUAAGACGGGAGGGGCAAGCGUUACCCGGAUUCACUGGGUGUAAAGGGUCUGUAGGCGGUUUGGUAUGUCGUGCCUGAAAUCCUCUGGCUCAACCAGAGAAUUGGGUACGAAACUGCCAGACUUGAGUCCGGACGAGGAGAGCGGAACUGCCGGUGUAGCGGUGAAAUGCGUAGAUAUCGGCAGGAACACCAUUGGCGAAGGCGGCUCUCUAUUCCGGUACUAACGCUGAAAGACGAAAGCGUGGGGAGCGAUCGGGAUUAGAUACCCCGGUAGUCCACGCCGUAAACGAUAGAUGCUGGGUGUCGGUUCGGUUUUCGGAUCGGUGCCGAAGCAAACGCGUUAAGCAUCUCACCUGGGGACUACGACCGCAAGGUUGAAACCCAAAGGAAUUGACGGGGGCCCGCACAACCGGUGGAGCAUGUGGUUUAAUUCGAUGGUACGCGAAGAACCUUACCUGGGCUUGACAUGCUGGUAGUACAGACCCGAAAGGGAAAGGAUCCCGACUUUGUCGGGAAGCCAGCACAGGUGGUGCAUGGCC